GAUUCUUCCAAUUGGUCCAUCUUUUAGAUGAGUACUGGUUGUGUGGGGUCUAUCCGCCUGGUAAUACGUAAUGUCCUUUAUUGGAUGUUGCGGGUAGUCAGGACCUUUACCUUGAAAAAAUUAGAGUGUUUAAAGCAGGCUUAUGCCGGAAUACAUUAGCAUGGAAUAAUAGAAUAGGACGAAGUUGUUUUAUUUUGUUGGUUUCUAGGACAACCGUAAUGAUUAAUAGGGAUAGUUGGGC
rnacentral:rRNA from 1 species